GUGAAAUGGUUGUCUUGCUCUGUGCUGCCUCACCUCCAGCACUGAGGGCAGUAUUGGGCACAAUAGCACAAAAAGAUCGUAAAACUGUUAGUUAGAGAGUGUCCAAAGGAGGGCUGCAAAGAUGGAGAAGGGUCUGGAGGACAAGGUGUGUGAGGAGCACUGAGGCCCCUGGCGUUGCUCAGCCCAGAGCAGAGGAGCUGAGGGAUGGCCUCAUGGCGGCUGUAGCUCCUCACAGGGAGCGGAGGGCAGUGCUGAGCUCUGCUCUCUGUGACAGGGACUGAGGUGAUGGCAUGGAGCUGUGUCAGGGGAGGGGCAGUUGGGGGUUAGGGACAGGGUCUGCCCAGAGGACGGUGGGCACGGAAUAGGCUGCCCAGUGCAGUGGGCACAGCACCAGUGCCAGAGCUCUGGGAGUGCUGGGGCACCACUCUCAGAGAUCAGGUUUGGGUAGUGCUGUGCAGAGUUGGGAGUUGGGCUCCGUGAUCCCUGGGGGUCUCUUCCAACUCAGGAUACUGUGUGAUUCAGAAUUACAGUGAAAGCCCCAGGGCUGCAAGACACUGCGUGUUCUUCCUGUUGAGUGCUGUUGAGUUCCUCUCAGACCAAGUCAAUGUUUGUCUUAUGCAAAUGUUCUCUGCAGAGGUUAAUACAGAGUGCAGCUGCCUUGGUAAUGCUGUUUUUGCUCCAGUGCUUUGGGACCAAAUAGCCUGAAGUCAAGACUGGUUGUCUGUGAAAAGGUUUCCUGUAGCUCCAGAAAGCAACCAGGUCCCAGCUCUUCCAGCAUCAGACAUCAGGAGAAGCCUCUUUCUGCCAGUCACUUGAAUGCCCUGGUGCAGGACACAGUCAAGGGAUAUGGUGAACAGAUCUGUCACUUGGUUCAGUGCUCUGGCACUGGUGCCAGCAGGCUGGAGGAAAUUUAACAAGAUAUUGAAAACUUUCCUGUAGGAUAAACUGCUGACAGUUCAGAAGAAUUGGGUGAGUACUUGUCAAACUGAGC
rnacentral:lncRNA from 1 species